CUACGUUGAAGAGGGGUGGUGAGAGUGACAGACCAAUAACAAGCAGCAAGGUUGAAAUGGUAAUUUAAAAAUUACCAACAAGAAAAAGUCCAGGACCAGAUGGAUUCACAGCAGAAUUCUACUAGACAUUCAAAGAAGAAUUAGUACCCAUCCUUUUGACACUAUUCCACAAGGAAUCCACCAGGAAAACAAAGCACUCUGGUACUUCAACGGAGAAUUUAGAUAAAUACGUGGUUAAAUGAACAUUGAAGAAGGAAAGCAGCAACAAAGAAGCUCUCAGACGAACAGACAGGACAGAGUCAGGAAAGAACAGAGUGCUCCUAUAAUGGUACUCUAAAGCUGCUUUGAAUUUUCAAACCACUUUAAUUGCACUUUGAGUAUCUAAGCAAACCUGAUCUCCAGAUACAGACAGAGCUUUCCAGUUCUUCUGGCCACCGUGUGAAGAAGGAUGUGUUUGCUUCCACUUCCGCCAUGAUUGUAAGUUUCCUGAGGCCUCCUCAGCCAUGCUGAACUGUGAGUCAACUAAACCCUGUUUUAAAAAUAAAUUGCCCAGUCUCAGGUAUGUCUUUAUUAGCAGCAUGAGAACAGACUAAUACAACAUGUGUCCAUCAAUAAAUGAAAGUAUAAAAAAAAGUAUUAUACAUAUGUAAUGGAAUACUAUUCAGCCAUUAAAAAACUAUGAAAUUAUGUAUUUUACAACAAGAUGGAUGAAACUAGAGAUCAUUAUCUUAAGUGAAACAAGCCAGGCACAGAAAGACAAAUAUUGCAUGUUCUCACUCAUAAAUGGGUGAAGAUUAUGGGAGUCAGGCAGCAGGUCGGGAUAGCCGCUGAGCUGACCAGUGACUCAUGUGGCUGUAAUCACUAGGACAACAGCCUUGUAUCUGGCUGAAAGGCUGGUGAAGCCACUGAGGAGUGGAUGACAGACGUAUUGCCUGCUACAACUGCAGCAGAGGUGGGGGGC
rnacentral:lncRNA from 1 species